AUGAGGAUGUGGACGACUCUGUGUGUGGCAAUGCUCUUCUUCAGAACAAGAGCUGAAAUCACCCAAACCCCAGGUCUUGUGGUGCGAGAAGAUGAGAAUGUUACUCUAAAAUGCAGUCAAAAUGAUAAUCACAAUUCUAUGUACUGGUAUCUGCAGCAGCCAGGGAAGGCGAUGCAAUUGAUUUAUUAUUCCUUUGGUGUCAAUCAAAAGCAAGUGGGUGACAUUCCAGCUGGAUUCCAAGUUAACCGGCCAAAUCUUGCAGAUUUCUAUUUGGAUAUUUUGCCUGUGAAGUUGAACAACUCAGCCAUCUAUUUCUGUGCCAGUAGUUUGGACACAACACUUCAAAGUCACUUGCUUUCUUUACAUAAACCUCUCCCCUUUCAGCACGUUCCCUCCGAAGGCAGCUGCUCUCAGCACAGGAAAAGGGUGUGUAGGGCAAUCACUUACUGA